rnacentral:rRNA from 1 species
AGAGUUUGAUCCUGGCUCAGAUUGAACGCUGGCGGCAUGCCUAACACAUGCAAGUCGAACGGGUUGUAGCAAUACAACUAGUGGCGGACGGGUGAGGAAUACAUAGGAAUUUGCCUUUAGGUGGGGGAUAGUCCGGGGAAACUCGGUUUAAUACCGCAUGAUGUCGCAAGACCAAAGCAGGGGAUCGCAAGACCUUGCGCCUUUAGAGAAGCCUAUGUCGGAUUAGCUAGUUGGUAGGGUAAUGGCCUACCAAGGCGACGAUCCGUAACUGGUCUGAGAGGACGAUCAGUCACACCGGAACUGAGACACGGUCCGGACUCCUACGGGAGGCAGCAGUGGGGAAUAUUGGACAAUGGGCGAAAGCCUGAUCCAGCAAUGCCGCGUGUGUGAAGAAGGCCUUCGGGUUGUAAAGCACUUUAGUUUGGGAAGAAAAAGCUUCACCUAAUACGUGAAGCCUUGACG